rnacentral:rRNA from 1 species
UACGUAGGGUGCGAGCGUUAAUCGGAAUUACUGGGCGUAAAGCGUGCGCAGGCGGCGCGUUAAGACAGGUGUGAAAGCCCCGAGCUUAACUUGGGAAUUGCGCUUGUGACUGGCGUGCUGGAGUGUGGCAGAGGGAGGUGGAAUUCCACGUGUAGCAGUGAAAUGCGUAGAGAUGUGGAGGAACACCGAUGGCGAAGGCAGCCUCCUGGGCCAGCACUGACGCUCAUGCACGAAAGCGUGGGGAGCAAAUGGG